GAUGAAUGCUGGCGGCGUGCCUAACACAUGCAAGUCGAACGGUAACAUGUUUCUCACCUUGGUCCUAACUUUCAAAAGUUGGUGCUGAAGUGAGAAAUGAUGACGAGUGGCGGACGGCUGAGUAACGCGUGGGAACAUGCCCCAAAGUGAGGGAUAAGCUCCAGAAAUGGAGUCUAAUACCGGCAUAUGAUCUUCGGAUUAAAGGAUUUAUCCGCUUUGGGGAGUGGCCUGCGUACGAUUAGAUAGUUGGUGAGGUAAU
rnacentral:rRNA from 1 species